AUGUCUAGUAAGCGCCGGGGAUAUGCCGGCGACGGCGGUGAAAAGAGGUCGCGGCGGAUCAAGCAUCUGUACCUCGUGUUGGAUGACUGGACCAAGGGGUACAGCAUCCACAAGAUCCAAGCCGACAGCUUCGACUCUGACUCUGACUCUGAUGAGCAGCACAGCGGCGCUGCCCGGCACCUCCCGGAGCCUCCGACCCUGCGGUUAGAGUGCCCGGUUGGCACUGUACCCCAUCCCGGCAUGUCGUUCUCUGCCUUGGGCACCAAGAUCUUCACCUUCAUGAACCAGCGAUGCAGCCUCAUCUACGACACCAAGACGGCCGCAAUGACGAUUGGCGCCCAUGCCCCUGCUGACAUGGUCUGUGGCUUCGGCAUCACCGUGGUCGUUGAUGAGAUGCUCUAUGCAUUAUCUUACCACUUCGACAAGAAACAACACUCCUUUGGGGUCAUGUCAUGGGGGUCCACCGCGCCGGAUGCGCUGCAACAUCCAACCGAGGGCUGGUCCUGGAAGACUCUGCCGCCACCACCGCCAACGUUCCACCGCCGAGUCAACUCCUAUGCACUACACCCGGAUGGAUGCACCAUCUUUAUGUCCACAGCUAACUUCAUGACGGCACCUAGCAAAGGUUGCAUGGGCACCUACUCAUUCAACACCAAGGAUUCUGUGUGGAGAUGGCAUGGGGAGUGGGCCUUGCCAUUCAACGGCCAAGCACACUUUGACAGGGAGCUCAACGCUUGGGUUGGCCUUCAUCUGGAUGGCUACAUCUCUGCUUGCCAAGUUGCCUCCCCCAGCUGCCACAGCACGACUCCAUCGUUGCAGCUGGACUGCCAGACAACCAAGGAGAAGUUGUUCUGCAAGGACCGGAAGCCGCACAUGGGAGCCUCUCUCACCUACAUGGGCACGAGCAAGUUCUGCCUCGUCGAGUGCGUGAAACGGGAGGGAGUGGAGGAGGAACAGGAUCUCGGAGACCAUGAUGGCUGUGUGCUCCAUAUCACCAUAUUUGGGCUCAAGUUCAAUCACAAGGGAGAGCUGCGGAUCACAGAUCACCGCUCCACGCGCUCCUUCAUAGUGUCUAGUCAUAAAGAUCACUUUAUGCCUGUAGCAUUUUGGAUGUAG
rnacentral:rRNA from 1 species